rnacentral:rRNA from 1 species
GUGGGGAAUCUUGCGCAAUGGGCGAAAGCCUGACGCAGCCAUGCCGCGUGAAUGAUGAAGGUCUUAGGAUUGUAAAAUUCUUUCACCGGGGACGAUAAUGACGGUACCCGGAGAAGAAGCCCCGGCUAACUUCGUGCCAGCAGCCGCGGUAAUACGAAGGGGGCUAGCGUUGCUCGGAAUUACUGGGCGUAAAGGGCGCGUAGGCGGACAGUUUAGUCAGAGGUGAAAGCCCAGGGCUCAACCUUGGAAUUGCCUUGGAUACUGGCUGUCUUGAGUACGGGAGAGGUGAGUGGAACUCCGAGUGUAGAGGUGAAAUUCGUAGAUAUUCGGAAGAACACCAGUGGCGAAGGCGACUCACUGGCCCGUUACUGACGCUGAGGCGCGAAAGCGUGGGGAGCAAACAGGAUUAGAAACCCCAGUAGUCC